rnacentral:rRNA from 1 species
CUACGUGCCAGCAGCCGCGGUAAUACGGAAGGUCCAGGCGUUAUCCGGAUUUAUUGGGUUUAAAGGGAGCGUAGGCGGAUUGUUAAGUCAGCGGUUAAAGGGUGUGGCUCAACCAUACAUUGCCGUUGAAACUGGCGAUCUUGAGUGCAGACAGGGAUGCCGGAAUUCGUGGUGUAGCGGUGAAAUGCUUAGAUAUCACGAAGGACUCCGAUCGCGAAGGCAGGUGUCCGGGCUGCAACUGACGCUUAAGCUCGAAGGUGCGGGUAUCAAACAGGAUUAGAUACCCUGGUAGUCCGCACAGUAAACGAUGGAUGCCCGCUGUUGGUACCUGGUAUCAGCGGCUAAGCGAAAGCAUUAAGCAUCCCACCUGGGGAGUACGCCGGCAACGGUGAAACUCAAAGGAAUUGACGGGGGCCCGCACAAGCGGAGGAACAUGUGGUUUAAUUCGACGCAACGCGAAGAACCUUACCAGGCCUUGACAUCCCUUGCAAAGCUGUAGAGAUA